CUUUGGGCCACCUCCCAUCCGUGUCUAUUGUACCCUGUUGCUUCGGCGGGCCCGCCGCUUGUCGGCCGCCGGGGGGGCGCCUCUGCCCCCCGGGCCCGUGCCCGCCGGAGACCCCAACACGAACACUGUCUGAAAGCGUGCAGUCUGAGUUGAUUGAAUGCAAUCAGUUAAAACUUUCAACAAUGGAUCUCUUGGUUCCGGCAUCGAUGAAGAACGCAGCGAAAUGCGAUAACUAAUGUGAAUUGCAGAAUUCAGUGAAUCAUCGAGUCUUUGAACGCACAUUGCGCCCCCUGGUAUUCCGGGGGGCAUGCCUGUCCGAGCGUCAUUGCUGCCCUCAAGCCCGGCUUGUGUGUUGGGUCGCCGUCCCCCUCUCCGGGGGGACGGGCCCGAAAGGCAGCGGCGGCACCGCGUCCGAUCCUCGAGCGUAUGGGGCUUUGUCACAUGCUCUGUAGGAUUGGCCGGCGCCUGCCGACRUUUUCCAACCAUUCUUUCCAGGUUGACCUCGGAUCAGGUAGGGAUACCCGCUGAACUUAAGCAUAUCAAUAAGGCG
rnacentral:rRNA from 1 species